ensembl:lncRNA
AAAAAAAAAAAAAAAAAAAAAAAAAAGACCAUUGUGUUGAGUUGUGUGGGUGUUUUCAUCAGAUCUAAGCAAGUUUGUGAAAUAAGGAAUCUGAUUUUCAACUCACUUUCACGUUCAAGGUCUUAGGGAAAAGGGGUCACCAGCCUUGCAGCAGUCAGAGUUCAGCCCAGUCUGCACCCCUCUCCCCUCCACUCCCCCCCCUAAAAACGUGAGCAUUGGGCUGGUAGUCAAGUUCAGAACAGAGCAGAAGUCAGCUCUGUGCAAAAUAGCUUCGUGUUUUAAGGGUCAGAGUUUAAGCUGGCAAAUUAGGACUGAUUUGUUCAAGUGAAGUAUGUUUUAUAUGAAUGCCUCACUUGGGCCUUAAAAGUUCUGAAAUUUCUUAAUUGUGUUUUGUUUUUAAGUGUCCCCAGUGCUGCCAUGUAGCAGGCUCCCAGUGUGGGGAUACAUUGGAAUCGGGCCCUGCAGGCCCUGUCAUGGUAUGGGAGCAGGCGUGGCACACCUUUGAAAUAAAGGCUGGGACUGGUAAGGCCCGAAUUCUAUCAGAAAUCUUCACUUUAAGUUACUCUCCAGUGGUUUUGAAAAUGUUACAUUUGUGUGUGAAUCAUAGCCUUAUUUUCCUUUUCUGUCUAAACACAGUGAGAAGUCAUUGUUAAUUGUUUUCCUUAACACUUUGACAAAAGGACCAGUGGACCAAUCUGACAAAGCCAUUCUGGUUCCAUUCCUCAAGUCUACUGAGAAUAGUUUUAAAGCUAUGCAGAAAAGGGAGCUGUUAUUCACACUGCCCUUACUUUAUUAUAGAAUAUGGAGUUAAAAACAAAGUGUGAAAUUCAGAACUUUACCAAUGUAUUCCUAGGCUGUGAGUACUUUUGCAGCCCGAAGUGUGAAAAUAUGUAAAGAUGCUUUGUUAUGCUGCUAUUGAUCUGCCAUGAUUUAUAUUUAUUCUUUUAUGGCAUGUAAUGGUGAUUAGUAAUAUUUUAAUGUAGAUUUUGAUUUAUUUCAGCAAUAGUAAUUUUAAGAUAUUCUUUGAAUGAAAAUGUCUUCGUUUCUAUGAUACAGGUCAUUUUGUAGUAUUUAACCAAUUAAGAUGCACUGCUUACUUUUCUGAGCACUAUUUAAUGAUGGGGUAAAACCCAGUUGGCUCAACCAGCUAGCAUAAGGAUUAGCUGUGAAUAAUGCUGACAGAUGUAAUGGUUCCUCGGGAACAAUCAUUUAAGCUUUAAUGGUAACUCAAUCAUAAGUCCACAGAUUUUUUUUUUUCUAGCUGAGAUUUUAGAAAAUUACUUGUGAAUUACAUACUUGUUUUAGUUUGCUCUUAGUUUUUUAGCAUAAAGAAUACCUUGAUUGGCUUUUGUUAAUCUAAACAUGCUUCCUGGGCCACUUUUCUGCUUCCCAAUUUAGUGUCUUCUAUUGCAUUUACCUAGUUAUUUGUGAAUUGCGCAGAAGUCAGGGAAGCUUUUAAGUUCUCAUACUCCAUUAGGAAUAGUUUGUUUUCAAAGGUAGUGUGUAAAUUCAGCAACCAAAAAUGAAUUGCUUGCGUGUCACCUGGGAAAGAGAAAGUUACAGUAAGACGUGAAGUGUUGCUGACACCAGGAGAUGGUGUCCAGGGAGCCACAUGACUGUUCUCAGAAAACAGUUGCCCUGGCAGGUUUGCUCGCAUCCCAGGUGUAGUCUCAGUGGGCUUUGGUAAGCGGAAGAAUCGAGGGAUUCUUGUUAUGAUAGACAUUUGAAUUGAAAUGAUGAUUUGAGUAUGGACAAUAUUACGAGAGAGUUGAGAGAAUAUCCUGAAGAGGGUCUUUAAUCAAACCUGUUAAUUUUCACCCUUUAAUCCAAGGAAUGAAUAUGACAGACAGUAAAGAGAAUCUGUGAUAAGGUUUCCUUAGUGUGAAAGUAAAUUUUUAAGUGCCCAAGUCAUGGAGACUUGAAAAGGGUAAACCUGUUUCAACUCCCAGAUUUAUGUAUUCAAAGCAUUUUGAAAAUUCAGAAGCCAGAAGUCCCCCGUCAUGAUGACUAGGAAGUUCAGGCCAGAAUGAGUCCCUAGAGAAGUCAGGCCAAGCCUGAACAGUUGCAGUUGGAUGACCCUGGCCCGAAAGUCGCAGUUCAGUUGCCUUAUUCCUCAUUCAGGCUUCUGUCCAGAACCUCAUGCUAGUUUAGGUUGCAUGUUUACAUUGCUGCAGUGACUUUACUGGAAUCUUAGUUUUAAACCUUAGUUGAAUCAAAACGGACACCAAAACAGAGAUGCUUCUUGCUAGGUUUGCAGAACUUCAGGUGACCUGCAUUUAGGUCACCGUGACUGUCUGUAUGCCCCCCACCUCACCUGGGUGGGUGGCACUACUCUUCUUUAGUUGUAGUUAAUGUGGUGUCUUUGAAUGGACUCCCACCUCCCAAACAGCCUUGCUCCUUUCCUUUAAGGAAGAAGCUCCUCCUCAUUGUGCAUCUCUCCCGAGGUUUGUAAGGUGUGACUUUGAAUCCUAGGUUUUCAAGUGACUGUCAGUUUCAGAAGCAUUCAUGCCGUCUGCAUGUGAAUGUGAGUGUCCAUGGCUUACUUUGGAAGGCUUUUGGGAGUGGGGUUUUGUUAAGAGCCCAAGUUGACCUGGGUCCUUCUCUGCCGGAGGAUGCACAGGCUAAGUUUAGAAUAUGACCCGAUUUUGCAUGUCAAGAAUUGUUCUUUUUCCACCCAUGUUUUCUUGUAAAAAUUUUAAACCCCAUCAAAUCUUCUACUAGGUAAAUAUUUUUAAACCACGCAGCUUUAUUACUCUCCUCCCCAAAGAAUGUAGUUUGAAAUUUUCUCAUUUUGGUAGUAGAGGCCAUAACUGCCAUUGUAUUACUAACAAUGCAACAUGAAAUUGAAGGUGCCUAACUGCUUAAAAAACAAAAUUAGCCAUCAUACUGUAACUCUGGGGAAAAUGAAACACAGAGGAAUGAGAGGCAGCACAGGCACGAGUGGGCUCAGUCCACGUGAGUGAAGAUGAGGAAUCACAGGGACGUGUGUCCUGCAUUCUUGCUGCGCGUUUGCUGCUGAGCACGUGUUUCUUUCUUACUUGUCUUUGGUUUUCUUCAGUUGUAUUCAAAGGGCCUUCUGGAACCAAUAGUGCCCUGUGUUUUCAGGUGUCUAAAACGUUAAGAUCUGAAACAAGUAAAGCAACUUACACUGAGCUUUUUAAAGCUGUGCUUGAGAACAUUUCCCUGAGUGGGCCGGGGCCUCAAGGAGCCUGUUUUUCAGCAAAUUCAGCAGGAGAGAUGUGUGCAAUGUUUCACUCAGUUUUGUGUUUGACAUCUUCAUUUGAAAUGCUAUGAUGCAAUAUCGUUCACUUUGAAUGGGGAAAAUGCAAAAUUGUGUUUCCCUUUUAUCUGUGUGAUUCCUAAAGAAACGUGUUUUUAACAGUAUGUGUUCUAAAUGGUUUUUUAUUCUGUAUUCCUGCUUUGGCCAUGUGGCUCUCAUGACCUUCAGUGUACCAGAGUCUCAGCACCCUGAAAUGUGAGCAUGAGAAGCUCUGGGGUUACAGCAAGAUUUUUGUUCCAUGAGCGCAAUACAGCAUCAUUAACAUUUUUAAUGGUAUGGAUUUUAUACCAUCCGUGUAUGUUUGCAAAUAUUAAGUUAUUACCUGUUUUCAGAUGAGCAUUUUUCAUCCUAAAUUUUAUAUGUUUGCAAAUAUAUUUUUUUAAUAAAAGUUCAAAACCAAGUUUUAGCACCUA